rnacentral:rRNA from 1 species
UCACAAAGCCUAUAACCGGUACGGGCCGUGAAAGCGGAAGCCCGGAGAUGGGCACUGAGACAAGGGCCCAGGCCCUACGGGGCGCAGCAGUCGCGAAAACUCCGCAAUACGCGAAAGCGUGACGGGGCUAUCCCGAGUGCUAUUCGUUGAGAGUAGCUUUUCCUCAGUGUACAGAGCUGUGGGAAUAAGGAGGGGGCAAGACUGGUGUCAGCCGCCGCGGUAAUACCAGCUCUCCGAGUGGUAGGGACGCUUAUUGGGCCUAAAGCAUCCGUAGCUUGCUGAGUAUGUCCUCCGUUAAAUUCACCGAUUUAAUCGAUGGGCUGCGGGGGAAACUGCUUAGCUAGGAGGCGGGAGAGGCCGACGGUAUUUCCGGGGUAGGGGUGAAAUCCUAUAAUCCCGGGACGACCACCAGUGGCGAAGGCUGUCGGCUAGAACGCGCUCGACGGUGAGGGAUGAAAGCUGGGGGAGCGAACCGGAUUAGAUACCCGGGUAGUCCCAGCUGUAAACGAUGCAGGCUAGGUGUUGGUGUGGCUACGAGCCGCUCCAGUGCCGCAGGGAAGCCGUUAAGCCUGCCGCCUGGGAAGUACGGCCGCAAGGCUGAAACUUAAAGGAAUUGGCGGGGGAGCACAAGGGCGAAUCGCGCCGCUAUG